CGUGAAGGCUCUUCCGCUGUGAGCCUGCUUCUUCCUCUCCCACUCCCCCUGCUUGUGUUCCCUCUCUCGCUGGCUGUCUUUCUGUCGAAUAAAUAAAUGAAAUCUUAAAAAAAAAAAAAAACACAAAACAAAUCAAUAGCUGAGAAGGAAUGCUUGCUGUAACUUUCUGUUUGUCGCCUCCUAACAUUGCGUGUGUGUGCUCUCUUUCUCUCUCUCUCUCUCAAAGCCUGGGAUUUCUCCAGUGAUCAUGUGGGUAAAAUCAAGUUGUAUUUCAUUUUUCAGAAUAGACCCAGAAUCUGGUUGUGAUUCAAGAUGGAGGCCCUGGUCCUUGGGAGAGCUGGUGGGAGCUAGGCAGGUGUUACCUUUAGACCUGCAGUGUCAGGCAAAUGAUAGUGGAACUGGGAACAGGUGGGGCCUGUUUACCUUAACCACGUGAAGGCCAGUUAUCAGAACAGGGGCCCAAACAAAGUCAGAACCAGUCAGAGGAAUCCCAGGAUAUAAGGACAAGCUCAGGGUAGCUGGCACGGUGGUUCCCCUGAACUUGGGCUUUGAAUCACCUCAGAGAAUGUAUGUCUUCUUUCCCACACAUUCAACUUCAAAGUGAAGGCUUUCAGAAAGAUAACAGUCUCUCCUCAAAAUCAGAGAAGACCUAGGUAUCACCAGGCCGUUUCUGAAGUAGGCAAGAGGAGAACCACAUGUUCCAAUUCUAAUGGGACUUUGCUAAAGGGUCAGGAAAGCCGAACAGUAAAAGGUGGAUGAGACGAUGUGCUUUAAGAUGCUGGACCCAGCCUGGGCUGCCCAGAUUACUUUCUCUGCGUGUGUGGAGUGGGCCAGGCUGGAGGCCUGCAUGUUUCCAGAUUCUUGACCCAGCUGUAUAUGGAAGCCUGAGAUCUUCCAAACAUGAAGCAGAAGGUCAAAGGAGCUCUCGCCCUACCAGACCUGCUUACAUUUCCCUGAAAACAUUGCUGUAGCAAUCCAAGGCCAACCGAUCCAUCAAGAGCAGCAGUUUUCUUGAGAACAGAAGUGUGAAUUAUUUGUAGCAUGUAACGUCUUGCUUCAUAUCCACCUGUUGGGUCCGCAGACAUCUGUGGACCCUCCGUUACCAGCAGGCCUGUGAUAAGUGUUGUAUGAGAGAUACAAAGAUGAAUCAGGUACGGGCAUAUCUUGUUUUAUUGCUGUGCUUUAUUGUGCUUCACAGAUUUU
rnacentral:lncRNA from 1 species